GUGGGGAAUUUUGGACAAUGGGGGCAACCCUGAUCCAGCCAUCCCGCGUGUGCGAUGAAGGCCUUAGGGUUGUAAAGCUCUUUUACCAGGGAUGAUAAUGACAGUACCUGGAGAAUAAGCUCCGGCUAACUCCGUGCCAGCAGCCGCGGUAAUACGGAGGGAGCUAGCGUUGUUCGGAAUUACUGGGCGUAAAGCGCGCGUAGGCGGUUUAUCAAGUCAGGGGUGAAAUCCCGGGGCUCAACCCCGGAACUGCCCUUGAAACUGGUUCACUAGAAUCCUGGAGAGGCGAGUGGAAUUCCGAGUGUAGAGGUGAAAUUCGUAGAUAUUCGGAAGAACACCAGUGGCGAAGGCGACUCGCUGGACAGGUAUUGACGCUGGGGUGCGAAAGCGUGGGGAGCAAACAGGAUUAGAUACCCCAGUAGUCC
rnacentral:rRNA from 1 species